rnacentral:tRNA from 1 species
GUUGGUGCAGAACAGUCAGGAGUGUUCGCUACCCUGUCACGGUAGAGAUCGCGGGUUCAAAUCCCGUCACCAGCGC